GAAUUUUUUUCUGGAUAAAGUAAUUCUGCAAACAUUUGAAAACAGUGGAUUAGUGUUUCUAUAAACUUUAGCUCAGAAUGAAGAUCCUUAUCCUUACCCUUUACCUGAUCAAAGGUUUCUACAUAAUCAUCAUGAUCAUCAUCAUCACUGUGUCUGUCUGUAUGGCUCUGCUGUUGAUGGCAGGAUUAGCAAUGAUGUUCUACAAAGUCAACAAUAUGCAAAGUAAAACAUGCACACACAAACUUGCAGUUACCUGUGACAGUUGCUACAAGAUAACACGGUUUGCCUUUUAUUUGUUACAAGCACAGAUUCAAGCAGAAGGAGGCCUAAAGACCACAAACCAUCUCAGGUUCUCCACCACUCUGACUCACACACUGCUGGACCUGUGAGGUCUUCACCACCCACUAACAGUCCUGAUGAAGAUCUCCAUUCACAACUACCCAAAGACCAAGGCCUCAUUUAUGCCACUGUGACUUUCAAGAGGAAUCCAGAUUCUCCCAGUAAUCCAACAGUCACCUGCAGUGAGGAAAAAUCUGUUACAGAAUAUGCCACUCUCAAACACCUCACAAGACUGGAAUAAUUGCAAUUAGUAUUGAAAAAGUGUAAACCAUUGUGACAGUUGGUCCCUCCUAGCUUCCAUGUUCCAUGGUUUCCCUGUCUUAUGUAUUUUUUUGGUUCCAUUCCUUAGUUUCGUUUUCUCCACCACUUGUUUGAUUUUCCAUGCUUGUCAUUACAUUCACCUAUUCCUUGUUUCUAGUCUUGUUAAGUUCAUGUAUUUAAACCCUGUCUUGUGCCCUCUGUCUUUGCUGUUCAUUUGAUGGUUGAAUGACUGAAUGUGUUGGAAAGCCUGUAUCUGUAUGCCCAUAAGUUUGUACUCCGUGUAUCCUAGUCUGACUGUUUUUCCUAGCCUUAUUGUUUCUUAGCCUCCGAUUUCUUCCUAGUCUCUGUAUAGCCUGCUUCCCCUGUUUACUGUGUGUUUAUCAUGCAUCCCUGUACUCUGUGUAUUGGCUCAAUGACCCUGGACUGCUCUGACGACCCUGAAUUUUGAUUUGCACCUAAUAAAUCUUGAUCUUCUCCGCAUUUGCGUCCACCUCCUUACAGCUAACCAUUACAAACAUAAACCUGCUUUAAUUAUAUAAACAUCCAUUUUAAAUCUAAAAAGUUACAGACCAAAAUUUUGCAUAUUUAAAUAUAUAAUUCAUUAGAAAAUGUUAGUUUCAACUUUUUUUUUUCUUUCUGGAUUUAAUUCUGCAAAUGUCUGGACUUAAUUUAGCAACAAAUUGUUUACUGUUGUUUUAGUAUUCAAAAAUAAAAUGUUUGUAGUUGAAAAUAUACCCAAAAGUGUAUUCUUUCAUUGUUUUUGUAUUUUGU
ensembl:lncRNA